rnacentral:rRNA from 1 species
AUGAAAUCAUCGGGCCUGACUAUUUGCGUACCCACAAAUGAGUACCUACAUCAACCUCGCAAGAUUUUAGAACUGCUGCCACGAAGUGUAGGUGCCACCGAACCACCAGUUGUACGGCACAACAUUGUUAGCCGUGACGACCCGGCCGUCAUCGGUCUGUACCUUGAAGGACAGGCUCUGGCCGUUGAGGUAAGCAUUGCUCUGCCAGCUGGCACCCCAGUUCCUGCUCAUUACCAUCCAGUCAGUCUUGGACCCCUUGAUCCACAUUUGGGACACCACGCCGCUGCCGCCGACAUUUGCCACCGUCACGAGCUCAAAGUAGUUGUUCCCAUUGAUGGUGAACCUCAUGCCCCCACUCCUCUGGCAUGGAACCCUCCUAUAGUUGACGGGCACAAUGCCGGCUUGGUAGACGGCGAUGGUCUCCCACACAGGCUGCGACAUGUCAAAGUGCUGUCGCGGUGGGUUGCACCAUCCACCAUUGUCGCUGGCCAGGGCAUAGUUGGGCGGGCAGAAGUUGGUGGCCGUGAUGGUGAUAGACGUGCCCUGUUUGCACGACUGUGUCUUGCUUGCGUCACAGGUGAUGGUGAAGCACAUGCCGCAAGAGGCGCCAUUGUUGAAGAGCGCUGUGCUCAAAGCAGCUGA